CGGGGUACACGAGCGGCGAACGGGUGAGUAACACGUGGGUGACCUGCCCUCAGCUCUGGGAUAAGCCUGGGAAACUGGGUCUAAUACCGGAUAUGACUGCUCAUCGCAUGGUGGGUGGUGGAAAGUUUUUCGGCUGGGGAUGGGCCCGCGGCCUAUCAGCUUGUUGGUGGGGUGAUGGCCUACCAAGGCGACGACGGGUAGCCGGCCUGAGAGGGCGACCGGCCACACUGGGACUGAGACACGGCCCAGACUCCUACGGGAGGCAGCAGUGGGGAAUAUUGCGCAAUGGGCGGAAGCCUGACGCAGCGACGCCGCGUGGGGGAUGACGGCCUUCGGGUUGUAAACCUCUUUCGACCGGGACGAAGCGUGAGUGACGGUACCGGUAGAAGAAGCACCGGCCAACUACGUGCCAGCAGCCGCGGUAAUACGUAGGGUGCGAGCGUUGUCCGGAAUUAUUGGGCGUAAAGAGCUCGUAGGCGGUGUGUCGCGUCGGUCGUGAAAACUUUCAGCUUAACUGGGAGCUUGCGGUCGAUACGGGCAUCACUUGAGUUCGGCAGGGGAGACUGGAAUUCCUGGUGUAGCGGUGAAAUGCGCAGAUAUCAGGAGGAACACCGGUGGCGAAGGCGGGUCUCUGGGCCGAUACUGACGCUGAGGAGCGAAAGCGUGGGGAGCGAACAGGAUUAGAUACCCUGGUAGUCCACGCCGUAAACGGUGGGCGCU
rnacentral:rRNA from 1 species